rnacentral:lncRNA from 11 species
UGGCUCUUAUGGUUUCUUCCAACACUAUGAUUCUAAGAUAAAGCUCAACAAAACACAAUGGCAUAUUAACAGCUAACACGCAAACACAACUUAUGAUGACAGUGAACUCGAGAAAGGAUAACUCUAAUUGGCAGAUUAUGGGUCGCCUCUGAAUCUAAACUUUGAAACAACUACUUUAC